rnacentral:lncRNA from 10 species
AAUGCAAGGGGGUGGGGAGGUGGACUUGGUGUUAAAGAGAAAACCACACUGUCGACAAGAGCCAGACUUCAAAAGCAUCUAAAGAAACAAAGACAAAGCUGCCAUCAUCAUUUGUUAGUAGACAGUUGUCAUGGAGUGGGGAUUGACUCACUUUAAGCAAAAGAAUGCAUCCAGCAUUGUUUAAAGAGGGAGGCAACAGCCAAGAAGAGCUAUGUGAGGCCUCUCUUGGCCCUCCAGUUCUUCAUUAGGGAGCAAAGAAAGGAGGACUUUGCCAAGAGCAAACCUGAAACAUUCCUUUGGGUUCAGUUCAAUCGCCUGCAAGUCACGUUUCCACACAAACAUGUCCCCAGGACUGAGGAUGCAAGGCACUGUUCAAGGCGUCUCUUGGAUGAAGACAUGGCAAAAGCUACCACCACCAUGCAGCUCUGUGAUUCUUCUACUAGUGUCUUCCAUUGGCUGAACUCAGCUGAACACUACAGGGUAAAGAAGCCCAGAUGAUGCUGUCUGUUGAAGUCAGUUUCUUGAAGCACAAAGCAGGUAAGGGGAAAGGUGAAAAGUGGAUCUGGAGGAACAAACAGGAUAUACCCUGCAAAAUCAUUGAUAUUACUAUUUCUAAAAUAGAAAAAAUACACAAAUUUAAAAAGUGAUGGCAUUUGAAACUUACUUCUGUCAUCAAAUGUGAUAAAAAUAAUUCCCAUCUAAUAAAAUUAUUGGGUAACCUUGAAAAUCAA